rnacentral:rRNA from 1 species
UGGGGAAUAUCGCACAAUGGGCGCAAGCCUGAUGCAGCCAUGCCGCGUGUGUGAAGAAGGCCUUCGGGUUGUAAAGCACUUUCAGCGGGGAGGAAGGCGUUAAGGUUAAUAACCUUGGCGAUUGACGUUACCCGCAGAAGAAGCACCGGCUAACUCCGUGCCAGCAGCCGCGGUAAUACGGAGGGUGCAAGCGUUAAUCGGAAUUACUGGGCGUAAAGCGCACGCAGGCGGUUGAUUGAGUCAGAUGUGAAAUCCCCGGGCUUAACCCGGGAAUUGCAUCUGAUACUGGUCAGCUAGAGUCUUGUAGAGGGGGGUAGAAUUCCAUGUGUAGCGGUGAAAUGCGUAGAGAUGUGGAGGAAUACCGGUGGCGAAGGCGGCCCCCUGGACAAAGACUGACGCUCAGGUGCGAAAGCGUGGGGAGCAAACAGG